AGUGAACGCUGGCGGUAGGCCUAACACAUGCAAGUCGAACGGCAGCACAGUAAGAGCUUGCUCUUACGGGUGGCGAGUGGCGGACGGGUGAGGAAUACAUCGGAAUCUACUUUUUCGUGGGGGAUAACGUAGGGAAACUUACGCUAAUACCGCAUACGACCUACGGGUGAAAGCAGGGGCUCUUCGGACCUUGCGCGAUUGGAUGAGCCGAUGUCGGAUUAGCUAGUUGGCGGGGUAAAGGCCCACCAAGGCGACGAUCCGUAGCUGGUCUGAGAGGAUGAUCAGCCACACUGGAACUGAGACACGGUCCAGACUCCUACGGGAGGCAGCAGUGGGGAAUAUUGGACAAUGGGCGCAAGCCUGAUCCAGCCAUACCGCGUGGGUGAAGAAGGCCUUCGGGUUGUAAAGCCCUUUUGUUGGGAAAGAAAAGCAGCAGGUUAAUACCCCGCUGUUCUGACGGUACCCAAAGAAUAAGCACCGGCUAACUUCGUG
rnacentral:rRNA from 1 species